UACGAAGGGGGCUAGCGUUGCUCGGAAUCACUGGGCGUAAAGCGCACGUAGGCGGCUUGUUAAGUCAGGGGUGAAAUCCUGGAGCUCAACUCCAGAACUGCCUUUGAUACUGGCGAGCUUGAGUCCGGGAGAGGUAAGUGGAACUGCGAGUGUAGAGGUGAAAUUCGUAGAUAUUCGCAAGAACACCAGUGGCGAAGGCGGCUCACUGGCCCGGUACUGACGCUGAGGUGCGAAAGCGUGGGGAGCAAACAGG
rnacentral:rRNA from 1 species